rnacentral:rRNA from 1 species
UACAGAGGUCUCAAGCGUUGUUCGGAUUCAUUGGGCGUAAAGGGUGUGUAGGUGGCGCCGUAAGUCGGGUGUGAAAUUUCGGAGCUUAACUCCGAAACUGCAUUCGAUACUGCGGUGCUUGAGGACUGGAGAGGAGACUGGAAUUCAUGGUGUAGCAGUGAAAUGCGUGGAUAUCAAGAGGAACACUCGUGGCGAAAGCGAGCUACUGGACAACUCCUGACGCUGAGGCUCGAAGGCCAGGGGAGCAAACGGG